rnacentral:snRNA from 1 species
AUCGCUUCUCAGCCUUUUGGCUAAGACUAAAGUUUAGUUUCUGUUCUUAUCGAAUUAACCUUCGGUAGAGGUUCGAACGAACCUCGUUAAGGUUAUUUGAUUUUUGGAAGCGGAUGGGUGUUGCGGGCUUGCUCGCAAACCAUCACGGGUCGGCCCAGCGUUGCACUGCUGCUGGGAUCGGCCCACCCCCA